rnacentral:tRNA from 1 species
GGGCCAGUAGUCUAGCAUGGUUAGGACGUCAGAUAAUAUCCGCCAAGCUCUUACACAGCGAAGGUCGCAGGUUCAAGUCCUGCCUGGCCCA